GACGAACGUUGGCGGCGUGCUUAACACAUGCAAGUCGAACGGAAAGGCCCUGCUUUUGUGGGGUGCUCGAGUGGCGAACGGGUGAGUAACACGUGAGUAACCUGCCCUUGACUUUGGGAUAACUUCAGGAAACUGGGGCUAAUACCGGAUAGGAGCUCCUGCUGCAUGGUGGGGGUUGGAAAGUUUCGGCGGUUGGGGAUGGACUCGCGGCUUAUCAGCUUGUUGGUGGGGUAGUGGCUUACCAAGGCUUUGACGGGUAGCCGGCCUGAGAGGGUGACCGGCCACAUUGGGACUGAGAUACGGCCCAGACUCCUACGGGAGGCAGCAGUGGGGAAUAUUGCACAAUGGGCGGAAGCCUGAUGCAGCAACGCCGCGUGCGGGAUGACGGCCUUCGGGUUGUAAACCGCUUUCGCCUGUGACGAAGCGUGAGUGACGGUAAUGGGUAAAGAAGCACCGGCUAACUACGUGCCAGCAGCCGCGGUGAUACGUAGGGUGCGAGCGUUGUCCGGAUUUAUUGGGCGUAAAGGGCUCGUAGGUGGUUGAUCGCGUCGGAAGUGUAAUCUUGGGGCUUAACCCUGAGCGUGCUUUCGAUACGGGUUGACUUGAGGAAGGUAGGGGAGAAUGGAAUUCCUGGUGGAGCGGUGGAAUGCGCAGAUAUCAGGAGGAACACCAGUGGCGAAGGCGGUUCUCUGGGCCUUUCCUGACGCUGAGGAGCGAAAGCGUGGGAGCGAACAGGCUUAGAUACCCUGGUAGUCCACGCUGUAAACGGUGGGUACUAGGUGUGGGGUCCAUUCCACGGGUUCCGUGCCGUAGCUAACGCUUUAAGUACCCCGCCUGGGGAGUACGGCCGCGAGGCUAAAACUCAAAGGAAUUGACGGGGCCCCGCACAAGCGGCGGAGCAUGCGGAUUAAUUCGAUGCAACGCGUAGAACCUUACCUGGGUUUGACAUGGAUCGGGAGUGCUCAGAGAUGGGUGUGCCUCUUUUGGGGUCGGUUCACAGGUGGUGCAUGGCUGUCGUCAGCUCGUGUCGUGAGAUGUUGGGUUAAGUCCCGCAACGAGCGCAACCCUUGUUCACUGUUGCCAGCACGUUAUGGUGGGGACUCAGUGGAGACCGCCGGGGUCAACUCGGAGGAAGGUGGGGAUGACGUCAAGUCAUCAUGCCCCUUAUGUCCAGGGCUUCACGCAUGCUACAAUGGCUGGUACAGAGAGUGGCGAGCCUGUGAGGGUGAGCGAAUCUCGGAAAGCCGGUCUCAGUUCGGAUUGGGGUCUGCAACUCGACCUCAUGAAGUCGGAGUCGCUAGUAAUCGCAGAUCAGCAACGCUGCGGUGAAUACGUUCCCGGGGCU
rnacentral:rRNA from 1 species